AGCUCCAGAAGCGUAUAUUUAAAUUGUUGCUGUUAAAAAGCUCGUAGUUGGAUUUCUGGUGUGGUGCGGCCGGUCCGUCGCCGAUAGGCGGUCGAGUACUGGCGUUGCGCCUACCAUCCCUUCUGGAGAGGCCGUCUGCGCUUCAUUGCGUGGUCGGAGUCACCGAUCCAGAUCGUUUACUUUGAAAAAAUUAGAGUGUUUAAAGCAGGCGUCAGCCACUGAAUACAUUAGCAUGGAAUAAUGAGAUAGGACUUUGGCCCUAUUUUGUUGGUUUCUAGGACUGAAGUAAUGAUUGAUAGGGACAGUUGGGGGUGCUAGUAUUUAACGGCCAGAGGUGAAAUUCUUGGAUUCGUUAAAGACUAACUAAUGCGAAAGCAUUCACCAAGGAUGUCUUCUUUAA
rnacentral:rRNA from 1 species